AUUGAACGCUGGCGGCAUGCCUUACACAUGCAAGUCGAACGGUAACAGGUCUUCGGAUGCUGACGAGUGGCGCACGGGUGAGUAAUACAUCGGAACGUGCCUAGUAGUGGGGGAUAACUACUCGAAAGAGUGGCUAAUACCGCAUGAGAUCUACGGAUGAAAGCAGGGGAUCGCAAGACCUUGUGCUACUAGAGCGGCCGAUGGCAGAUUAGGUAGUUGGUGGGAUAAAAGCUUACCAAGCCGACGAUCUGUAGCUGGUCUGAGAGGACGAUCAGCCACACUGGGACUGAGACACGGCCCAGACUCCUACGGGAGGCAGCAGUGGGGAAUUUUGGACAAUGGGCGCAAGCCUGAUCCAGCAAUGCCGCGUGCAGGAUGAAGGCCUUCGGGUUGUAAACUGCUUUUGUACGGAACGAAAAGCCCUGGGUUAAUACCCUGGGGUCAUGACGGUACCGUAAGAAUAAGCACCGGCUAACUACGUG
rnacentral:rRNA from 1 species